rnacentral:piRNA from 1 species
UGGGUUCUCCAGAAAUCAAAGCCUGAUGCAGU